rnacentral:lncRNA from 1 species
CCCACCCCCGCCCCCGCACCGCGCGCGGCCAACUCCUGGGAAACUUUCUGGCGGGAGAGGCGGCUGCCACGUCCCCGGGCCGGACUCUGGGUCCCGCGCUCCGAGCCCCGCGCUCCCCGCCGGCGCCGCCGCCGCUCCGCCAGCGCACCCUCGGCCGGGCGGUGACGUGGCCAGGCCGGCAGCCGUGCCGGGCGAGCCAGGAAGCGCCGCCGCCCGAGAUCCCGCCUCCCUCCCGUCCCAGCGCCGCGGCCCCAGGGCCUCCCGCACGUGACCUUGGGCGGGCCACCGCGCCCCUCCCGCCGCCGGGGGCCCCCUCAUCCGCCUCCAGGGUUUAUAACUCGGGGGGCCAGGGUGGAUGGGGGGGGGCGGGGCGCGCGCCAGCGUUUGGCCUAAGCCUAGAGGGUUGGCAGCGCCCCGCGAAUGUGACCCACUGCCGCUGUCAGCAUCCGCCUGGGGUUCAAGGCCUCCCCCCUUUCCCGCGCUCUUACCUGUCCACUGCCAGAGCCCCCUUGUCCUGACCCGCCCAGUCGGGGCGGUGAAGCUGGUGAAAGAUGACCCUCGGGUUUGGGGUCAGGCUGACCUCUGUUCCGGCCCGAGUGCUGUGGGCCUCCCUCCCCCGCUCUUGGCCUCAGUGGUUUCAUCUGUGAAAGGAGGUUGCUGAUCUUCUCUCCCAAACACCGGCCUCCUCCCAGCCUCAUCCCUGCCCCGGCCAGAGAGGCUCUGCUACCAUGGAAUCUGUCUCGCCCCUACUCAUCACCCUUCCGUGGCUCCCUCACCAUGACUCCUAGGGCAAGGCAGCCCUUCCAGACUCAAAAUGCGGUCCGCGGGCCAGCAACAUUUGUAUCACCUGCUGGGAAUGCAGAAUCUCAAGCCCCCGGGGCUCCUCGGGGGCUCAGUCGGUUAAGCAUCUGACUUCAGCUGAGCUCACGAUCUCAUGGUUUGUGGGUUCGAGCCCCGCACGGGGCUCCGUCCUGACAGCGCGCGAAGCCUGCUCGGGAUUCUCUCUCUCGAGCCCUCUCUCUGCCCCUCCCUCCCCCACUUUCUCUCUCUCCAAAACAAAUAAAUAAACUUAAAAAAAAAAAAAAAGGGAUCUU